AUCGGCAGACGGGCCGUCCAAUCCAGGCUCAGAGGAAGUCGGCGGAAGAUCCGUUGGGCCUCAUGUUGUGGCGUCUGUUGCUAUGGUUACGGUGCCUCUUAUAAAAGGGUCCGAUGGGAACUGCUAGAAAGCGGCACAAACUUGGGCCCUCCGACAGCCUCAGGCCCCUUCCUUUCCCCCUUCAGCCGCUUAAGGAAAAGGGUAAUAGGACUUGGGCAUCCUCGGAUUUUGGUUUCCAUGGUGGGCUCUGGAACCGAACCCAACAAAUGCCCAUGCCCUCACUACUUAGAAGUCUUCAAGCAAGCUAGGAAAGAAUUCCUCCUGAAACCCCGGAGAGCCAACUAGAGAUGACAAUAUGGAGCCAGAAAGGCCUGAUUCAAUACAAAGUGGAGGGGACUAACCUGAAAACAAGGUUUUCACCGUCGCAAGGAUGACCCUAGCCAAAUCCUGGAGAGAUAAAGAAACCCCAAAAAUGAAGUGCUGGGUGAAUAAGAUAUUAGAAACAAUGAAUAUGGACAAAUUAGCAUACCUGCUAAAGAAUAGCCAAGGCUGUCCAAGAAAGGAAACUGACUGGUAAUUGGUUAAAAAUUACUUAAGAGAGAAAAAAAUGAGAAUUAUCAUAUGAGACCCAAGUAUGCAAAACUAAAAACUGAGCCUUACAUUAGGAGAAUAGGCGCGGACCGAACUACCAGAAUAAAUCUGAGAAGUUAUGAAGAAAAAAGAACCUUAAUGUCACCAUGCAAUAGAUGGAAGUCGAUUUUAAUAUUAUUUCUUUUAGUUUCUUUUUUUUUCUUUUUGGUUUUUUUUUCUCUCUCCUUUUUUUUCACAUUUUCAACCUUGCUCUCAAUUUUGCAUUUUACUUUAUUUUAUGUCCAUGUCUAUGUCAUUGUUGAUUUGAAAAAGCUUGAGUAAAAAAAAUAUUUUAGAAAAAAACCCCCAAGGUUUUGGCCAAUGCCAGGUCAACACACAGAAGCUGGACCUUGAUUUCCUUGACACCAGACAAAGUGCACUAGGUGAAAGCCAGGAGCAGCCAGCCAGCCUGAUAACUAAAUAAAACAUAUAGUCCCCAGAACACAAUAGCCCUGUGUAGGUCAGGAGAGUUAGAGAAAUAAUAGGAGGAAAAAGUACAAGAGUGCAGGACUUCCAUGUGCAAGCAGCCCUUCUUGAAGUUGGGAAAUACAUACAUCACUUUUGGUUAACAUACAUAUAUAAAUAUAGAAAGUGGUUAAAAAGUCAAAGAAGGAACCUAAAAUGCUUUUUUUCUCUGCGGAGGAACUUGAUUGACACAGUAGAUUUCCGUUCCCGCAAUAGAAAAUAGGGAAAACUGGUCCUUCAAGUCCAUGACAUUCUGCCCUUUGAAUUCCCCUGAAGCUAUAUGUUCUAGGAACCAAGAGUCAAACAAGAUUCUUAACCCAUUUUUCAUGCAUUCAGACCAAACCAAUGCACUUUUCCACAGUAGCACCCAAGUCUUAGUCAACCCUGUUGUUCCUUGUUUGCUAAAGGAGGGAACCACUAAGCCAUGGGACCUCAACUUUGCAUGAAAAAGCUAUUUCAGUGGAUCUCUGAACACCAGUUUGCUAGGAAGUGCAAGCAGCCUAGCAGUUUCCAGGGACUUCUGGUUGGCCAUUGUGAGAAACAACGAGCCUGACUUGGGCCUUUGCUUUUAUAUAGCAUGACUCUUGUCAGAGCCUGGAAAAGCUAUUUUGAGAGACCCUCCCAGACUCUACUACCAACAUAACCAGUUGUUAUUGAUGUGCCUCUUCAAGUCAGGAAAUCUUGAGAGGGUUCAGAGAUUUGCCAUGGUUUUCAUCUUAUUGCAAGAGAGUGAAACUCGCCAAACGUUAUCCAGUGGGUUUCCAUAACUUGAGAUCUCCCAGACUCCUGGUCCUGCCCAGACACCUUAAUUUCGUGCCACAACAUGGACAAAACAAUGUAAUAUUUGUGAGUAGAGGGUUGGCUUUCCUUUAGUGAUGAAAUACCACUUUGUGUGUAGAAAAAUCCAGAAUCCCACAAGAAUGCUAAAGAAAAGAGUCCAAUUAGUUACGUCAAAGUAGACAGAGCUGUUUCCCUUUAAGGCAGGGGUCCCCAAACUAAGGCCCGGGGGCCGGAUGCGGCCCUCCAAGGUCAUUUACCUAGCCCCCGCCCUCAGUUUUAUAAUAUAAUAUAUUGUAUAUACAUAUAAUAUUGAUAAUAUUAUAAUGUAAUGCAAUAAAACCUAAUAAUAAUACCAUAUAAUAUUAAUUAUAUAUUCUAUAUUACAUAUAAUAUUACUAAUAAUAUUACAGUAUAGUGGUAUAGUUCAAUAUAGUAACAUAUAAUGCUAAUAUUGUGCUAUGCUAAUAAUAUAAUAUAUUGUAUGUACAUAUAAUUUGUAAACCACUCUCGAGUCCCCUUUGGGGUGAGAAGGGUGUGAUACAAAUGUAGUAAAUAAAUGCAGUAAAUAAAUAAUAAAUAAAUUUUAGACUUAGGCUCGCCCAAAGUCUGAAAUGACUUGAAGGCACACAACAACAACCCUAAUUAACUUGACUAUCUCAUUGGCCAGAAGCAGGACCACACUUCCCAUUGAAAUCCUGAUAAAAGUACAGUAGAGUCUCACUUAUCCAACACUCGCUUAUCCAACGUUCUGGAUUAUCCAACGCAUUUUUGGAGUCAAUGUUUUCAAUAUAUCAUAUUUUGGUGCUAAAUUCGUAUAUACAGUAAUUACUACAUAGCAUUAAUGUGUAAUGAACUACUUUUUCUGUCAAAUUUGUUAUAUAACAUGUUUUAGUGCUUAAUUUGUAAAAUCAUAACCUAUUUUGAUGUUUAAUAGGCUUUUUCUUAAUCUCUCCUUAUUAUCCAACAUAUUCGCUUAUCCAACGUUCUGCCGGCCUGUUUAUGUUGGAUAAGUGAGACUCUACUGUAUGUUGGUUAAAAUUGUUUUUAUUUUUAAAUAUGGUAUUGUUCUUUCAUUGUUCUUGUUGUUGUUUUUGCACUACAAAUAAGACAUAUGCAGUGUGAA